UAAAUUAAAUUAUAUGUAUUGAACUGUUUAUGAAAUUUGCUAACAAGUGGUAUCAGAGCCACUUCAUGUUUGAUUUAUUGAAUUUUAUACAAAUUCUGUGUUUCGAUUAAUAUGUAUAUAUCAUCGAUGAAUGACUGUUGCCUUAUUUAUUAAAUCAAUGACUUUGUGUGGUUGUUUAUUGAAGCAUAGUUUGUUUUCUUUUAAAAUCGAUGAAUUUUUUGUUUUGUGACCUUGUUCAUCGAUUCUUGAUAUAUAUAUAUGUACAUGAUACUGUUGAUUCAAUUAGUUUAUGCAAGCCAUGUAUUUGAGACCUGUUGCUUUUAUUAUGUCAUGGCCUUGGUUUUGUCUUUUAAUUUUGAAUCGAUACAAAUUCAUAUAUAUAAUUUUCUUUGGAUCCGAUGACUUCAUUUUUUUU
rnacentral:lncRNA from 1 species